ACCUGGGUGGCUCAGUUGACUGGGCGUCUGACUUUGACUCAGGUCAUGAUCUCAUGGUUCGUGGGUUCGAGCCCCACCUUGGGCU
rnacentral:tRNA from 1 species